rnacentral:lncRNA from 1 species
UUUAAUCCCUCUUCCUCUUAAAAGAGGGGAUUCUAAAUUCACUAUUUAUUUUUGUCACCCUACUUUCCACACUUGAACUGAAUUAUUUACUGUUCAUUAUCAGGUUUUGUACUGUUGAGUAAAUAUAUUCUUUAUGCACCAUUUGUACAUUGGAGAAGCUAGCCAACGACAGAGAAACCAAAAUCUUUAUUCCUUCCAAGACCAUGGUGCUGUAAAAUUAGUAGACUCUCUCCACAAAUCGUAACUACCAUUUUCAUUUGGUCAUACUCCUCAUUUGUCCGUCGACUCCGACUCCGACAGUCCGACUCCUCUUUGUCGAGGUGUCCAUUUUACAAAGGAACCCCAAAGAAACCCCGAAGAUUGAGGAUCUUUGGUAGGCCUUUCGAUAACCUCGAUCUAGCAUGUGUUAAGUUUUGUUGGAUAUUUGCUUCUUGUGUAUUCAUUUCAUAUUUUCUUCAAAAUGGAGCCUUAAUCUCAAAAGCCUAACAUAAUUAGUGCUUAUGAAUCUAACUACCUUUUUUUCUUUUUUUCUUUUUUCUUUUUUUUGUUGUAAAUUUUAAUCGAUCCAAUGUUUUAGCUUUCGUUGAAAAUAAAGUCUUUCAUCCGUUACGUUUUCAUUUGCUUUGGUAUGACACAUAUGGGUGUUGAUCAUAUUUUAUUGUGGAAUUAGAUUUUUAUUUUCAUUUUCACUUUCACAAUUUUGGAUACAAAUGCUUAUUUUGAUCUUUUUGCAAGUCGGAGAGUACAUGAGGAACCAGAAGAUGCAACAAAGGGCAGAGACAUUUUAAUGAAAGGCCACCUGCUGAAUUCUUGACUGUGUCAAAUAUAGGAAAAACUAUGACAUCAUCUCUUCCAGAUAAUAUCGUAAGUGGUUUUCCUCAAAGUGAUUUUAUUGCAUUCGAUUUCCCAAUCGGCCCACAAAUUAAUAUAGAAUUGGAAAGGGAUUGUUUUUCUAAUUUUUAAUUUCUAGAAAGAGGAAAAACCAAGAAAUAAAGCAGAAUUACCCAUGGAAGUGGCACAAAAGGCUCAAAGCUUGUAGGAUUAUGUUCUAAGAAUAGGAUCAUUUAAAGUGGGUGAAGUGAACAGAAUGAGCAAAUAAAGUUAAAUAUUGUUGGAUUCCUUCAACAAUCUUGGAUUUUCUCUCUAUAUUAUAUUGGGCUAUUGUCUUCCUUAAUUUCUUAUGUAACCUUCCAGCUAGCCUUAUCAAAAGAAUUAUCAUUUACAAGUGUUGUAAACGAUAGAAAUCUGCAUAGACUAUUUCUUCUUUAUUAUGUCAUUCCGAAAGUUGAUCAUAAACUGCAUCACACUUUAUGAUCAAAGAUAAUGACAUGGAAGCUCUCUUAGGCACUUGUAUACUUUAUACUUUGAAACCUUCUGUUGAAAUUUUAUCUUUUGAAUUAUUCAAAUAGGUUGUUCAAUGUUAUAUGAAGCUAUUGUGAUUUUCCUUUCCUAAGCCACUAUUAAGAUGUGUUAUGAAUGAAAAAGAUAUUGUUCAAAGGUAAAUUUCGUUUUAGUUAGAUAGAAAUUUGGGCACGUAGGCUGUCAGAGUAAAAGAGAGAGGGUAAAACAAAACUUGCGAACUUGUGAACUGCAAAAGUUUUAUGGAAAGAUCUUAAAGCUCUAGGAUGUUAAGAGAUUGUAGUAGAUUGAGACAUGGAAGUUUGGUUGUUUGAAAUGUGACUUGCUUAAUGUUUAGGGCUUUGGAAGAAGACAAUUUAUAAUGCUGAUGUAAGCUAAUUUCGUUGGCCCUAAUGCAUUUCAGUGAAGCAGAGGCAUUUUCUAAGUGGUUGAAAAAAGAGCUUCAAGCUUUGGAAGUGGCAAAUGUGUGUGUAAUUUUGGAGACCAAGCAUUAGUUAAUGAGGUAACUUAGGAUUUUAAGCAUUGAUAUCCACAUGUUUACUGCAUUUUGUUUUCUUGCCAUCACUUGUGAUCCCGUAAGAUAUUUGUGUUAAUUGAUAGUAGGUGUACAUCAUCUUUAUCACGUCUUUCUAUUCAAUCAUAGCUUGUCGAUUUUACCUGUGUUUACUUAAAAGUAUAACACCUAAUUUUUUUUAAAAUACUUAUGAGUAUUAUCCAGUUUCAUUUAUUUUCUUUUGGUUUUGUUAUUGUGUUUGAAAGAUUAAUUUUGAGGAUGUGUAUAUUAGCCAAACUUUCAAAAUUUGUUUGGUUUACAAGAAGCUAAGUCAUUUGCAACUUUGAAAAUAAAGUUUUUAUGAUGAUUGUAUUUGGUUUUUAUUUUCUUUUGUUUCAAGUUGACAGCAACGUGAACCCUGAAUGAUUUAUUUAGGGAUUGUGCAGGUACUACAGGCCUUCAGAUUGCUACUAAUUUUGUUCAGGACAUGGAUGAAUAGUUGGGUACAUUCAAUGUAAAAUUUCAAGAUAUGAGAGAGGACAUAAAAUCGGUAUGCAUCUCCCCACAUCGUGCUCUCAUUUGAAAAUGUAUAUUUUCGUCUUGUCUUGUGAUUUUGCUCAUAUACAUCAUGUUAGUUAUAAAACUAUAUACUGCAUAGUGUGUUCGUCUGAUUCUAAUUUUGCUUUGUUCAACAACAUGAGCAAAUUAAAAUUCAAUUUUAUUUGUUUGCUAAAGCAUAGCUGCUUGUAUUAUCACUUGCUUUAUAAAAUAUUUUGAAGAAUGUGUUAUGAAUUAAUUCAAAUUAAGCGCUUCCCUGUGCUUUGAGAAUGUUCUAACAUAUUCUUUUGUUUUAUGAAGGUUGAAGCCCCUAAUAACAAGCUGGAAAUACAUUCAGUAAACAACAAAUCAUUGGUUGAUGAACUUGAUAGCCUUUGAGAAAGAUUGUGCAUCCCUUCCCAGGUAUUUUCUUCGACUUUUUCAUUCAAUAAAUUCAAAGAACCUUUUUUUUUUUUAACACUUGGCAGUUGUACUUUGUAUUAUUUUCCCCAUUUAAAUUUCAAUAUAUAGCAUGGCUAAUAAGAAGUUCAGGUAUUCUAGCUUGUCGGCUCGUUCAGGUUGUUAUUGAGUUUCUUUUUGUGUUUAUUGGGGCUUUUUUUAGUACUUAACACUUAGCAGUUCAGGUGUUAAAUACUAAAAAGAAAAAAGAAAAUGGGGUACUUGAUGUAAAAAUACCUUUGAGUUUAUUGCUAGCCCGCAAUACCUUUUUUAAGUAUUUAACAUUUGGGAGUUGUAUUUCAAUCACGUAAUGUUUUCCUUCACAUGCUUUAGAAUACCUUUGAGCAGCAAAUGAGCGAUUAGAGAUACUCAACAUGUAGGAUAAUAUUAUGAGAUCUUGCCUUGAUAGUUUUCAAAGUGUGUAUUUAUAUUUUUUGUCCCUUGCAGUUUUGUAUUUUCCCAGCUGGGUAGCUUAAAUUCUCUCUUUGCCAUUGAACAAACUCUGUCUAUCAUAAUGGUACCCGAGGUUCCAACCAUAAUACUUUGUAUGGAUUUGUCACAUGGUUCCCCUAGCUAGUCUAAUAUUCCAUCCAUUGUUACAGUAAAACGCUACCAACCUCUUGUUCUUUAUGCUCUUUCAAAUUAUUGCAACCUGCUUCUAUGUUUUUAUUUUAAAUAGUUUGUCUUCUUGAGGCAAUGGCCAUUAAUAUCUCAUUAACGACCAUGUGUUCACAUUCAGUCCCCUAAAGUUGAAAUCAUUGAUCCUCUUUAUAAGCAUGUCUCAGACACUGAGGAUGAGGGCAUAAUCAGAUGAGUUUAGCGUCUUCAAUUAAAAUUGUUAAUGGGCGAUAUGAAUAAGGGGGGUGUCCUCAAUUUAAAGUUUGAUGGAUUUUAAAACUCCAUAUAAAUUGAAGUAUCCUCAAUUCAGAUUUAAAUAUAAUUCAUUAAAAUAUAGGUGUCCCCAAUCUAGAUUUUUAAAAAUACUUAUAAAUUUAGGUGUCCUCAACAUAGAUUUUAAUAGGUAGUUUUGAAAUUUAGAUGUCCUCAAUAACUAGUUGAUUUUAAAAGAUUUCAUUAAGUAUAUAGAUUUUGAAGGAUUUCAAGGUAAAAAUAUAAGUACAAAAAAUCAGUAACAAUUUUAACCCAAACCUAAAAAUUUCACAACAUUUCUCACAUCUCUCCAUAUUUGCUGCCCUCUCUCUCUCUUCCUCCCCCCCCCCACCCUCCAUCUUGAACAAGAUUUUCUUCUUCUUUCUAUCUCACAUUUCUCUAUUGUAAAAAGAUCAUGUAUGAGAACUUUUCAAUUGAUGAUAAUUUAUGAAAGAUUACUAUUUUUUGUUGAAUAUUGGGUGUGAUUUUUUAUUGAACUUAUUUUUUCUUAUUGAAGUUAUAUAUUGCUUACUAUUUUAUAGAUGUGCUGGAAAUUAUCAUGGUAAUUUACGAUUUCUAGUAUGCAUCUGGAACAACUUCGUUUUUCAAGUUCUGUACUCUAUUCCUUUUUCUUGGAAAGAGCUGUGUGUUUUCUAUACAUACCUGCAAAUCCUAGCCAAGACGUGUGAGGAUGGUAUUCUACAAUUUUUUCUUUUGUGUCUGCAUGGUCAAUGAGAAUUCUGGGGGUAUGGAAUUAAUUGCCUUGUGGUCAUGUAUGUGUACAUCUGUGUGUUUGUAUCUCACGAGGUUGUGGCAUUUUGAACUAAUUCAUAUUGAUUACGACUUUGAUUAUUUAACACUACAUAUUUUUGUCCUCUCCCACUCUCGCAUUUUGUUGAAUAGUGGGUGUAUUUUUUUAUUGAAGCUCUGUUAUAAUACUCAAUGUUUAACAAACAAUUAAACAAGGAUUCGAUCAUUUUCUGUGAUUUAUUAACAUGCAUAUGUGUAAGAAUAAGUUGUUAAAGAAGAAGUAAAAAAUUGUGGCUUAUGUUAAGCAUAUUUAUAAAUUUUACCCAGAAUCUAUAAAAUCCAUUGAAAUCUAUAAAAUCCAUGAAAUUUUUUUAAAAUCUACAAAAUAGAAAUUCAUUCAAAUCUUAUGAAAUCUAUUAAAUUCUAUGAAAUUUCACACAAUUCAUGGGAAUUUAUAAAUAUUAAGAAAUCUAUUAAACUCUGAAAUGAGGACACCCCCGUAAAUGCCGAUGCAACUCCUUUAAUUCGCUUUACUGUUGAGGCCACAACUGCAGAUUUUUCUUGCUAAUGGAACUAAAUUUACAGCAGGCUUCCUCUGAGAGACCAGCUUAGCUCAAUUUGGCAUGUUAUGAACUAUGCAAAAUUGUCCAUAAAUAUGUUACUUCAAUUCAGAAAACGUCAAUUUUAUGAUACAAUUGUUUCUUUUCUUUAUUCAAAUAAGUUUUCCACAAUUUUUAUGUCAAUUCUGUACUAUUGAAAUGUAAUUUUGAUAAUAUACAUUGUUAGUGCCAAAUGUUAGUGUUAUUUAUUUUGUUAUUUAUAUUCACUGUUCAAUCUUUGAUUUUUUUUUCGAGGUUUUAAAAAAUCAUUCCCAAAAAAUUAGGAAAUUUCAACUGAAAUUGGAGUUUGACGACGAAUUUGUGAGGUAUCGUGAUGAAAGAGACCGUGAGUCAUGGCUGAUAUGAAUGGAAGGUAUUUUUCGACGAGACCCAUAAAAAUUAACUUGGUUGCUAGCAAACAGAAUGUGGGUGGUCAGGCUAAAGUUAUGAUUUACCUUUCAUCCUUGUGGUACUUUUGUCAGCUUAUUAGAUGGCCGCAUCAAAUUGACUUAAACAGGCUGAAUUAGAUUUGGUUUUUGCAUGAUGUGAUUUGAUUCCUGAUUUUGGCAGUUCAAAUGCAUUGAUGGCUUUUUGUUUUAGAUAUAUUUUCAACGGUUGAUGCUUAUUCAACAAUGUUGUUUUUAAGUAUGCUUCCUCUCAGUUAUACUCUUGAAUUCUUAAAGAUAACCAC